UCACCUGAUCUGAUUCCAUUCUUUUAAUAUGUGUGCUGAAGGCAAUGAUCUAUCCCCCAGCACUGCCUUUGAUGUAUCCCAUAGGUUUCUUUGUGAUGUAUUUUCAUUGUCAUUGUGGCUUAUGAACUCAUUAAUUUCAUCCUUAAUUUGCUCUGUGACCCAAAUGUUAGGUAACAGUGAGGAGUUUAGCCUCCAAGUAUUUGUGUAGUUUCUGUAGUAUCCUUUGUUAUUGAGGGCAACCUUGAUUCCAUUGUGAUCAGAUACAAUACAUGGGAUAAUGUCAAUACUAUUGUAUUUGCUGAGGUUCUUUGUGUGGACUGUGAUAUGAUCUGUUUUGGUGUAUGUUCCAUGGGCUGCUGAGAAUAAUAUCUAUUGUUUUUCUG